UACGGAGGAUCCGAGCGUUAUCCGGAUUUAUUGGGUUUAAAGGGUGCGCAGGCGGGAGAUUAAGUCGGCGGUGAAAUUUUGCAGCUUAACUGUAAAAGUGCCAUCGAUACUGGUUUCCUUGAGUGUAGAUGAAGUAGGCGGAAUUUGUGGUGUAGCGGUGAAAUGCAUAGAUAUCACGAGGAACUCCGAUUGCGCAGGCAGCUUACUAAACUACUACUGACGCUCAGGCACGAAGGCGUGGGGAUCAAACAGGAUUAGAUACCCCCGUAGU
rnacentral:rRNA from 1 species